rnacentral:piRNA from 1 species
UAGGCCAUCAAAAUUUAUUCA